rnacentral:lncRNA from 1 species
GACCAGAGGAAGCCAUGCUAACCGUGGUUUGAUAUUAAAGACUAAGGGGGUGCGGAAUUACUGACUAAUCUAGGCUUUCUGGUGGAGAACAUUAGUUGAACAAUGCCCCUUUGAAUUUUCAGAAGCAGGCCACAGGAUCCUGCCUACUCUGGGAUUGGAGCAGACCCUGGAGGCCAGUUGGAGGCCUGGUAGAGUCCUAUUUCCAGAGCUUCCGAUCGGAGUGAUUUACAUUUCAAAGGCUUCAGGAUCCACUGCAAGGAAACACAUUGGGGAAAGACUAUUUCUAAUUCCCAAUGACUGCAAAGACUAGGUAAUUGCUGGCCACCCAGCUGAGGCCUAUAAGCAAGAAUUUCACAGGGAAACAAGAGAAGGUCACGUGCAGUCAAGCGAGAGCGGAGACUGCAACAUGCAGGGAAGCAAAUAUGGGAGCCAAAAUCAAAAGCAUGGCGGCUACAGCUUACCUGAAUUCUAGCCUUCCACAUGUAUCUGGCUACCACCGAGCUUCAGAACAGGAGCUGUUAAAGGACAGGUGUUCUGUAAGUGGCCAGAUUCGUGAAGCCUACAUCAGGAUCAGAAGCUAGGUAGACGUCUCAUCUCCUGGUGGCCUCUAAGGACUGCUUCUGGCCUGCGAGGGACCCUGGCAUAGCUGCAUUCCCCAGUAUAUAGUGUCCCCCCACCCUCCACUUCCUGCAAGCAGAUUGUGUUCCUGGAAAGUUAUGGUGUCACCAGGUACAAAAUGGAUCCUUUCCUUCAGAAGAGAAGCAGUGAGUUUUGUUGCAGCACAUGGGCUUGGAAGACUUCCGAUCCUGCCUUCCUGGUCAUUCUCUGCUGUUAUCUGAGUAACACUGACCAAGUGACUUAUCCUCUUUGGGCCCUCACUUCCGCAUCUGAAAAACAUAGAUGGCGUGCGGGAAGGAUUGGCAAUGCCAGGAUGAAAGAUCUUUCCUAUGGGUGGACAGCUUUCUGCAGGCCUCCCUAGUGUGCCAAGUUCUACCAACAAGCAAGAGCCAAGACCACGGAAACUGUGACCAG